UACGAAGGGGGCUAGCGUUGCUCGGAAUUACUGGGCGUAAAGGGAGCGUAGGCGGACAUUUAAGUCGGGGGUGAAAUCCCAGAGCUCAACUCUGGAACUGCCUUCGAUACUGGGUGUCUUGGGUGUGAUAGAGGUAAGUGGAACUCCGAGUGUAGAGGUGAAAUUCGUAGAUAUUCGGAAGAACACCAGUGGCGAAGGCGACUUACUGGAUCAUUACUGACGCUGAGGCUCGAAAGCGUGGGGAGCAAACAGG
rnacentral:rRNA from 1 species